rnacentral:rRNA from 1 species
GGUGAACGCUGGCGGUAGGCCUAACACAUGCAAGUCGAACGGCAGCACAGUAAGAGCUUGCUCUUACGGGUGGCGAGUGGCGGACGGGUGAGGAAUACAUCGCAAUCUACUUUUUCGUGGGGGAUAACGUAGGGAAACUUACGCUAAUACCGCAUACGACCUACGGGUGAAAGCAGGGGAUCUUCGGACCUUGCGCGAUUGAAUGAGCCGAUGUCGGAUUAGCUAGUUGGCGGGGUAAAGGCCCACCAAGGCGACGAUCCGUAGCUGGUCUGAGAGGAUGAUCAGCCACACUGGAACUGAGACACGGUCCAGACUCCUACGGGAGGCAGCAGUGGGGAAUAUUGGACAAUGGGCGCAAGCCUGAUCCAGCCAUACCGCGUGGGUGAAGAAGGCCUUCGGGCUGUAAAGCCCUUUUGUUGGGAAAGAAAAGCAGCAGGUUAAUACCCCGCUGUUCUGACGGUACCCAAAGAAUAAGCACCGGCUAACUUCGU